rnacentral:rRNA from 1 species
AAUAGAUACCCAGGUAGUCCACGCCGUAAACGAUGAGUGCUAGGUGUUAGGGGGGUCCAACCCCUUAGUGCUGAAGUUAACACAUUAAGCACUCCGCCUGGGGAGUACGACCGCAAGGUUGAAACUCAAAGGAAUUGACGGGGGCCCGCACAAGCAGUGGAGCAUGUGGUUUAAUUCGAAGCAACGCGAAGAACCUUACCAGGUCUUGACAUCCUCUGACAACCCUAGAGAUAGGGCGUUCCCCUUCGGGGGACAGAGUGACAGGUGGUGCAUGGUUGUCGUCAGCUCGUGUCGUGAGAUGUUGGGUUAAGUCCCGCAACGAGCGCAACCCUUGAUGUUAGUUGCCAGCAUUCAGUUGGGCACUCUAACGUGACUGCCGGUGACAAACCGGAGGAAGGUGGGGAUGACGUCAAAUCAUCAUGCCCCUUAUGACCUGGGCCACACACGUGCUACAAUGGGCGGUACAAAGGGCAGCGAAACCGCGAGGUGGAGCCAAUCCCAUAAAGCCGCUCUCAGUUCGGAUUGCAGGCUGCAACUCG